rnacentral:rRNA from 1 species
CACGAGGUUAGCCGAUGCUUAUUCCUGCUGUACAAUCAGAUUCGGUACGAAACCAAAUUUUUUUUCUAGCAGAAAAGAAGUUUACAACGCGUAGCGCCUUCAUCCUUCACGCGGCAUGGCUGGAUCAGCCUUGAGGCCAUCGUCCAAUAUUCCUUA